rnacentral:rRNA from 1 species
UACAAAGGUCUCAAGCGUUGUUCGGAUUUAUUGGGCGUAAAGGGCGCGUAGGCGGCGGGGUAAGUCGGGUGUGAAAUCUCAGGGCUCAACCCUGAAACUGCACUUGAUACUGCUCUGCUUGAGGACUGGAGAGGAGACUGGAAUUCACGGUGUAGCAGUGAAAUGCGUAGAUAUCGUGAGGAAGACCAGUGGCGAAGGCGGGUCUCUGGACAGUUCCUGACGCUGAGGCGCGAAGGCCAGGGGAGCAAACGGG